rnacentral:misc_RNA from 1 species
CAAAAAAAGAAUUGGCUACAUACAAAACCUGGUGUUCUUGCCAUUUGGCAUAGAACAAGUGGAACUUGCAUGACUUCGAGUGGUUUAUAUUUAUGGGCCAUUUGGCAGUUUGUGGCUAAUGCGUGUCGAGAUAAGCAGGCAGCUUGCUUUUUCUAGGGGAUAAUGGUGGGCCUGCGUUCCUACUUUCUGCGUCUUUGCUAUCUUGUUACGCUUAUGGCUAUGGCUUUGGUUUGGAAUUGGAUGAGUGAAGGUGUAACGGUUCGAGUGGCUUCUUUGUCUCCUUCGGAUGUGUGGAUGUGUGGAUGUGUAAUAGUGCAAGUGGCUGCCCCCUUUCUGUGCCGGUCUCAAUUCUCACAACCCCAUAAAACACCUUACCAACGCAAUUAUGCAAAAGGCAAAAACUUUAUAUAGGAUUAGGAAGGAAUCGAUCUCAAUUUCUAAAAGCACUUUAUGCCCUUAAAACUUUACUUAGUCCUUCCUUUCUUUCCUUGUAUAACCCCAGUUCACAGAUUCUUCAUUUCUGGUCUCCCAGCACACUACUUACAGCUUCAGGUAGGGGGAAGACUUUGAGGAAAAAUGUGUAACCCAGUUGUGCCUUUGGUCAGCCAUGCAAGGACCUUGGUGGAGGAGCGAAGAUGGCUGGUUUUCCCGGCAGUUGAGACAACAGUGACUGAAGAUGCAAGGACAGAAACAGUCGCUGCUGGUGGUGGUGGUGGGUUGAUAAAGUGGUGUGUAUGUUCACCAACGAGGCACCCAGGAUCCUUCAGGUGCAGGCACCACCAUGCUGAUUACGAGUGGAGUCGUAGAAUAACAAAGAAGUGAGUACGUUUGUAAUUAUAAUUACGAAGAUCUAAUUUCAGGUGUAUAAACUACACACAACGAUGUGGCUGUUCAUCUUAUGCUUCUUCUUUCCACAAUUUCUUGGAUUCCUACUCUGCAAUUUCUCCUUUUUCCUAUACUCCUCUCUCUGUCAAAGCAAACGAU